rnacentral:lncRNA from 1 species
GCUGCGGGAGCGCGCCCGGAAGCAGCAGCAGCGGCGCCAGAUCUGCAGCCUCAGCUUCAACCUGGACGAGGAGGAGGAGGGGGGGGACAGCCCCCCCCGGGACCCCCCCAGCGACGAGGAGCCCCCCCGGAAGAAGAAACUGGGGAAGAACCCGGACGUGGACACCAGUUUCCUCCCGGAUCGCGACAGGGAGGAGGAGGAGAACCGACUGCGGGAGGAGCUGCGCCAGGAGUGGGAGGCCAAGCAGGAGAAGAUCAAAAGUGAGCGGGAUCUAUGGGGCUGGGAUCUAUGGGGCUGGGAUCUAUGGGGCUGGGAUCUAUGGGGUGGGAUCUAUGGGGCUGGGAUGUAUGGGGCCAGGCCCCCGUGGAUCUGUGGGGCGGGAU